rfam:Deltaproteobacteria bacterium RIFCSPLOWO2_12_FTLL_60_16 rifcsplowo2_12_scaffold_16320, whole genome shotgun sequence.
GCCACCCUAGCUCAGUCGGUAGAGCAGCUGAUUCGUAAUCAGCAGGUCGCCGGUUCGAAUCCGGCGGGUGGCU